rnacentral:piRNA from 1 species
UGACAUUUGAGCACUUGGCCCACUUUGCGGU